rnacentral:rRNA from 1 species
AAAAGCAGGGGAUCGUAAGACCUUGUGCUUUUGGAGUGGCCGAUGCCUGAUUAGCUAGUUGGUAGGGUAAUGGCCUACCAAGGCGACGAUCAGUAGUUGGUCUGAGAGGACGACCAGCCACACUGGGACUGAGACACGGCCCAGACUCCUACGGGAGGCAGCAGUGGGGAAUUUUGGACAAUGGGCGCAAGCCUGAUCCAGCAAUGCCGCGUGAGUGAAGAAGGCCUUCGGGUUGUAAAGCUCUUUCAGUUGAGAAGAAAAGGUUGUGACUAAUAAUCACAACUCAUGACGGUAUCGACAGAAGAAGCACCGGCUAACUACGUGCCAGCAGCCGCGGUAAUACGUAGGGUGCGAGCGUUAAUCGGAAUUACUGGGCGUAAAGGGUGCGCAGGCGGCUUUGUAAGUCAGAUGUGAAAUCCCCGGGCUUAACCUGGGAAUUGCGUUUGAAACUACAAAGC